rnacentral:rRNA from 1 species
AGUGAACGCUGGCGGCAGGCCUAAUACAUGCAAGUCGAACGGCAGCACAGCAGAGCUUGCUCUGUGGGUGGCGAGUGGCGGACGGGUGAGGAAUACAUGGGAAUCUGCCCAGUCGUGGGGGAUAACGUAUGGAAACGUACGCUAAUACCGCAUGCGCCCUAAGGGGGAAAGCCGGGGACCGCAAGGCCUGGCGCGAUUGGAUGAGCCCAUGUGCGAUUAGCUAGUUGGCGGGGUAAAGGCCCACCAAGGCGACGAUCGCUAGCUGGUCUGAGAGGAUGAUCAGCCACACUGGAACUGAGACACGGUCCAGACUCCUACGGGAGGCAGCAGUAGGGAAUAUUGGACAAUGGGGGCAACCCUGAUCCAGCCAUGCCGCGUGAGUGAAGAAGGCCCUCGGGUUGUAAAGCUCUUUUGUCCGGAAAGAAAAGCAAAUCGGUGAAUACCCGGUUGUUCUGACGGUACCGCAGGAAGAAGCACCGGCUAACUCCGUCG